rnacentral:rRNA from 1 species
CACGUAGUUAGCCGUGGCUUUCUGACGAGGUACCGUCAAGGUACGAGCAGUUACUCUCGUACGUGUUCUUCCCUCGCAACAGAGCUUUACGAUCCGAAAACCUUCUUCGCUCACGCGGCGUUGCUCCAUCAGACUUUCGUCCAUUGUGGAAGAUUCCCUACUGCUGCCUCCCGUAGGAGUCUGGGCCGUGUCUCAGUCCCAGUGUGGCCGAUCACCCUCUCAGGUCGGCUACGCAUCGUCGCCUUGGUACGGCCGUUACCCCACCAACUAGCUAAGUGCGCCGCGGGCCCAUCCUGCAGUGACAGCCGAAACCGUCUUCGAGUACGUUCCUCCAGUCGCGGAGGUAACUGAUUAUUCGGUAUUACGCCCCGGUUUCCCGGAGUUAC